rnacentral:rRNA from 1 species
CGGACCUCCAAUCAGUCAAGAUUACCCGCUGAAUUUAAGCAUAUUAUUAAGCGGAGGAAAAGAAACUAACCAGGAUUCCCCCAGUACGGCGAGG